rnacentral:rRNA from 1 species
GACGAACGCUGGCGGCGUGCUUAACACAUGCAAGUCGAACGGAAAGGCCUGCUUUCCCUUGUGGAUUGCGGGUACUCGAGUGGCGAACGGGUGAGUAACACGUGAGUGAUCUGCCCCCAACUUGGGUAUAAGCCUGGGAAACUGGGUCUAAUUCCCGAUAGGACUGCAGGGUGGUGCCUGUGGUGGAAAACGAUUUUCUAGUGGUUGGGGAUGAGCUCGCGGCCUAUCAGCUUGUUGGUGGGGUAAUGGCCUACCAAGGCGGCGACGGGUAGCCGGCCUGGGAGGGUGGACGGCCACAUUGGGACUGAGAGACGGCCCAGACUCCUACGGGAGGCAGCAGCGGGGAAUAGUGCACAAGGGGCGGAAGCCUGAUGCAGCGACGCCGCGUGGGGGAUGACGGCCUUCGGGUUGUAAACUCCUUUCGACCGCGAGGAAGCCACCUGGUUGGAAGGGUGGUGACGGUAGUGGUAGAAGAAGCACCGGCUAACUACGUG